UGAAGAGACCUCACCCCCACCCCUAACAAGGCAGCUCCUGAAAGGCUUCACUCUUCUGCCCUGGUGCAGAAACGGGCCCUACCUCUUUCAGAUUGGCCUGGAGCUGUCAGCUACCAGUGACUUCCAGAACCAACUUGCAAAUGUCUGCCAAUCAGUGGCACUGCUCAGACCAGAGCUCAGAUAAGAUGUUCUGCAGUCUGCUGAGAAAAUCUUCCAACACAGUUGUGGGACACAGAAGUCACUCACCAGAAACACUGGUCAUAUCACUUCUCCUUAUCUCUCUUCCUGGUGACGAAGCCCAAUGCCUGUGAGAUCUUUUUAAACAGAACCCUUUUUCCAAAUAAGAUUUGACCCGACACAGGGCCCCAGUGUAUGUGAACAAUAAAAGCUUCACUCCACUAGUUUAAAUAUAUUUUCUAAGAAGUUCAAGUUUCCAACAUGUUACUGUGUUACUUAUGAAAUCAGUGU
rnacentral:lncRNA from 10 species